rnacentral:lncRNA from 1 species
AUCAAGUGAUGACAAUAAAUGUUUAUAAUAUGCAUUUAAUUGUUCCAGGAGGCAACACUUAAAAUAUGCUCUUUUUGUCCACGACUCAAUAUUCCACUUAGGGAUCAAGAUUGAAAAAGCAUGAAGUAGGUUCAUACAGUGUCAUGUACAGGAAGAUAAGUUAUACUCAGAAUCAGGAAACUUUAGUUCUUGAUCAAGGAUUAGCAAAUGUUUUCCUUGAAGAGUCAGAUAGUAAGCAGUUUAGGCAUGGCAAGACCUACCAUCUCUGUUGCAGCUCCUCAUCUCUGCUGUUCUAGCGUGAAGGCAGCUGCAGACAGCAGGCAAAUGAAUGAGGAAACCUCUGUUCCCUUAAAACUUUAUGCUCAAAAGCAAGUGGACAAUUAGAUUAAGCCUGCUGGUAGUAGUUUGCUACUACUCUUUUUUUAGACUUUACCUUGCCAUUUGUUAGUGUGUAACCCAAGGAUAAAUCAAACUCGGAGCUUCAUUUUUCUUCACAGUGAAGUGAGAAUAAUAGCAGCAACCUCCUCGACAUUCCCAGUAUGAGGAAACAAGAAAAUGCUUAUGAACAUUUUUGGAACUGUCUAUUGUGUGGUGUGUCAGAGAAAAAAAUGAGAGACAGACAAGAUCUCACAAGUAUCCUCCGAGUGGGUAUAAAAUGUCCGCUAGGGGGCGAUUCUUCUUGGACACUCUAUUGGCAAGACUGUAAGUUCAUUCCCCAAAAUGGUAUGAACUCAUUUUAUCAAAUUGGGAGUAACUAACUAAAAAAAGGAAUAUGAAUUAUUUUGAUGCUUCAAGAUUCACAUAAAUAAGAUCAGAAUCACCUUUCCAUUCCAAAACUGACAGAAUUGGAGAGGCUGAUAAUUUCUGCUA